UACGUAUGGUGCAAGCGUUAUCCGGAUUUACUGGGUGUAAAGGGAGCGUAGGCGGCGCGUUAAGUCUGAUGUGAAAGCCCGAGGCUCAACCACGGGAGUGCAUUGGAAACUGGCGUGCUGGAGUGCCGGAGAGGUAAGCGGAAUUCCUAGUGUAGCGGUGAAAUGCGUAGAUAUUAGGAGGAACACCAGUGGCGAAGGCGGCUUACUGGACUGUAACUGACGUUGAGGCUCGAAAGCGUGGGGAGCAAACAGG
rnacentral:rRNA from 1 species